rnacentral:rRNA from 1 species
CAGUAGUGAUAUGCUUGUCUCAAAGAUUAAGCCAUGCAUGUCUGAGUACAGACCGAUCUAAGGUGAAACCGCGAAUGGCUCAUUAAAUCAGUCAUAAUUCCUUGGAUAGUGAAAAACUUCCUCGGAUAACUGUGGAAAAUCCAGAGCUAAUACGUGCAACUGAGCUCCGACCUAGGCGCGAGCCUUGGGAAGAGCGCAUUUAUUAGAUUCAAAACUGACCGGGGUAUUCCUUCGGGAUGCUCCGUUUGUCAAAAGUUUGAUGACUCCGGAUAACUUAGCCGAGCGCUACGGUCCUUGUACCGGCGCCGUAUCUUUCAAGUGUCUGCCUUAUCAGCUUUCGAUUGUAGGUUAAACGCCUACAAUGGCUGUAACGGGUAACGGGGAAUCAGGGUUCGAUUCCGGAGAGGGAGCCUGAGAAACGGCUACCACAUCUAAGGAAGGCAGCAGGCACGCAAAUUACCCACUCCCAGCCCGGGGAGGUAGUGACGAAAAAUAACGAUGCGAGACUCUUCCGAGGCCUCGCAAUCGGAAUGAGUCCAUUUUAAAUCCUUGGACGAGGAUCCAUUGGAGGGCAAGUCUGGUGCCAGCAGCCGCGGUAAUUCCAGCUCCAAUAGCGUAUAUUAAAGUUGCUGCGGUUAAAAAGCUCGUAGUUGGACUUCCUAGAUCCAUUUCGCGAGCGAGUCGCUCGUUGAGCUAGCCUCUCGCGUAAGUUACUCGGUGUCGUCGCGACGACGCGCGGGUGUAGGGGGGUCGUAAACUUUUGUUCGCGCGCGCGUUAGUGCGUUCGUCGCGGAGCCGUUCGCGCGAUUCAUAUCUCUUCUCUCACGAGUCGAGCGUGUGUUUCGUUAGCGUCGUCCGUGUCGGCCCUAGCGUCGCGUCGCUGCAUUUGCGAGCGAUCAUUCUCUCUCUCGCGACGCUCGCCCUUCGGUAUCUUGCGGACGGCGCGAGGUUGUCUUCGAGUAUCGCUCGUUCGCGUUUGGUACAAUUAAAAUUUGGUCGGCUCGCUCGGAGUGCUCUUCACCGAGUGUUCCAGGGUGGCCGACACGUUCACUUUGAAAAAAUUAGAGUGCUUAAAGCGGGCUCAAACGUGGCCUGAAUGUCUGUGCAUGGAAUGAAGUAACAGGACCUCGAUUCUGUUUUUUUUGUCGGUUUUAUUGAACCGAGGUAAUGAUUAAAAGGGACAGACGGUGGCAUUAGUAUUGCGGCGCUAGAGGUGAAAUUCUUGGACCGCUGCAAGACUAACUACUGCGAAAGCAUUUGCCGAGAAUGUUUUCAUUAAUCAAGAACGAAAGUUAGAGGAUCGAAGGCGAUCAGAUACCGCCCUAGUUCUAACCCUAAACUAUGCUAACUAGCGAUCCGCCGGAGUCAUUCCCACGACUCGGCGGGAAGCCCCAGGGAAACCAAAGUCUUUGAGUUCCGGGGGAAGUAUGGUUGCAAAGCUGAAACUUAAAGGAAUUGACGGAAGGGCACCACCAGGAGUGGAGCCUGCGGCUUAAUUUGACUCAACACGGGAAACCUCACCAGGCCCGGACAUCAUAAGGAUUGACAGGUUGAGAGCUCUUUCUCGAUUUGAUGGGUGGUGGUGCAUGGCCGUUCUUAGUUGGUGGAGUGAUCUGUCUGGUUGAUUCCGAUAACGAACGAGACUCUACCCUACUAACUAGUCGGCGGAUCGUAACCCUGAGAUGGUUAGUCGGUAUAGGUUGGUUUGUCCGAGGCGAGCGUCGUUUCCUUUUCUCGUCCGCUCGUGUGCGUGUUGGCGGCUCGUGCGCGUCGUUGGCGUUUUUGUCGCGUUGGUCUUCGGAUUGGCGUGGCGGAGCGUUUUCGUGCGUGCGAGUUCGUUGGCGCGUGUCGCGGGCGCGGCGUUAGGGUCUUUCGGCUUCGUCGAAGCUUCCUUCUGAUUGCCACUACUGCUGGGGGCGUCCGUCGCAAUGUAUCUUCUUAGAGGGAUCAGCGGCGUAUAGUCGCACGAGAAAGAGCAAUAACAGGUCUGUGAUGCCCUUAGAUGUCCUGGGCCGCACGCGCGCUACAAUGUAGAGACCAGCGUGCUUUCCCCCUCCGAAAGGAGCGGGUAACCCGUUGAAACCCCUACCCGAUUGGGAUUGGGGAUUGCAAAUAUUUCCCAUAAACGAGGAAUUCCCAGUAAGCGCGAGUCAUUAACUCGCGCUGAUUACGUCCCUGCCCUUUGUACACACCGCCCGUCGCUACUACCGAUUGAAUGAUUCAGUGAGGGCAUCGGACUGGCGCCUUCGGUUUAGUAACAUAGACCUUAGGCUGACGGAAAGAUGUCCGAACUUGAUCAUUUAGAGGAAGUAA